UAUAAUAGGCAAACUUAAGGAAACUUAAGGACGCAAAGCUAUAGGGGCUAAGGUUUAUACUAUGUCAGCCAGUUGCCAA
rnacentral:ncRNA from 1 species